AAGGGAUCACUGCCUGCCCCUCUGCUUCCCCUCGAGAGGAAGCUGUAGAUCGUGAAGUCCUCACAGUCUCCUCUUCAGUUAUUAGUGAGGGAUCAAUAACCAAACUCAGAAUUAAGCAGAAGAACUGAAGUGCAAAACCACAGCUAUAUGAAGGCUUGAACUCCAUCCCAAUUCGUAUUGAGUUCCUCUGCAGGAAUACUGAAACAGUUAAAGCAGCCCAAGGAAGCUGUUCGUUCUGAAUUUACAUUGUGCUGCUUAAAAAGUAAACACGGUGUAAGGGAGUGCAGGCUUGCCAGCAGCUGUCACUGACCUCAAAAUCAAAGAUGCUGUGGGCUGAUCCAAAGUAGGGCAGGCUUCAUAAGCUGAGUGAGCGCAGCAGCCGUGCUGGAGAUGGGAGGAAUGUGAGCUGUGUCUGGCAUGGAGCAAGGCAGCUGCCCCCCUUCCUAGGCCAAUCUGUCAGAUGGGUCAUGGAGAUAAUGAAGUUUGCCGAAAAAAAUAUUCCUGAUGGUUUUCUCUGUCUCUCAUCUCAGAGAUGAGGCAAAUGCCCUGAUCUGGGCAAUCUGUGCAGGGAUUAUUAAACCAAACUCUAUCUGGGCCAAGGUUAAUGAAAGAGCCUGCAAAAUCCUCCUGGCUGCUGUGUUUUGGUUCCCUCAUUGCAAGCAGCUUGGCUCUGUGCCAGCAGGGAGGCACAAGGCUGGUGGUGUGCACAUGUGCUGGGAGCCACAGGGAGCUGCAGGGGCUGGCAGUGGCUUUCCAAUCCUUGGGAAGUUGGCAAGUGGCUCACUUCAUGCUUGCUUGUGAAGCCUGUGGCACACCUCUGCUGACAACUGGCAGGGGUUGUUGUCGCCUGUUAUCACUGUCACCCCACAGGGACACAGUUUGUGUGGCUCACCCAGGGCUGCUGCUCCAGUCCUAUUUGCCCUAUCCCCCGGCUUUUGGAGCACAGCUUGUGCCACCCUGCCAUGGCUGGUGCUGCAGAAGCAAUCCACAGCCAAUCAACAUCACAGACAGAGCAUCUGUGUCAUGUGCAGGUACCCAUCCAGAAGAGUUUUCCUUAACCCCCUGAAGAGUCCCAAAUCCUGCAUCUCUACAGGGGUAACUACAAGGCAGCCUCACUCUUGUGGGCUGCCCUGGGGAGGAUGGGAAAACACACUCAGGCUUUUUUGCCCUUUAUUUUAUGUGAACAGAGAAGUUCUUCAAAUUUGUGGUUCUUCAUCUUCCUACCUUUCUUAUCACUGAGGGCUUUGGAAAGGGUGAAGUGGGGACAUCACAGCAUGAGCUUACACAUCUCUGCCCUGCCAGACUCCUUAUCACUGGAGCAGUUUCCAGCAUCUCAGUUAAAACCAGUACAUUUUUGAGCAUCAAUGCAAAGCAAAACUAGGAACAAUGGCACAGCAGUCAUAAGGGCAAUAAGGAUUUCUGCUUCUACCAGCUUGAGGCUGCUCUGAUCCUGCUGCCUAAAUCUGCUGGGAAACCCAGGCUCUCCGGUCCCAGCCUCUUCCCCAGGGCUCUCACCAGGGUGCUUCCCUUCCAGUGCCAGCACCUCAAUAAAUACUGGUUGUUCCGAUCAAAUUUCUCUCACACUGGCUGGUGACGCCAGCCCUGCUGGCAAGUGAUCAAUUCUCUAUUCACUGAGUCAUGCAAAUUCAUCAAAAGUCACCCCAGAUCCAUAGAGACAGGCUCCUCAAAGUGUCGUAGGAGGUUCAAGGCAGAGUUUCAGUGGUGGCCCAUGGCCUGGAGAUGCAGCACCGUUCUUGGUAUAUCAGCCAUCUGCCCUCAUGCAUGGCAGGUCCAUGAGGAGGCACUGCAGUUGAGAUAACCAGAGCCCAUACCCCAUCUUUUGUCUCUUCAACAUCCUCCCUUUAAUAGGGCACAAUUAUCUGUUUACUUAAGAGCAAGGGUAAUUAACCACCCAAAUGGUGACCAAGGAAUGCGAGAGUCACAAUAGUCCCUAUUAUGGAACACAUCCACUUAAUGGAGAUCAUUGUUCUUCCUGACCUUAAAAACCUGGCAACAUACCCCAGAACUUUCACCCACUGAGACUGGCAUCAAAAACCCAAGGGAACUGGUACCCCUCAAGGACAGCACUGGGAAACAAGGCUAGCUGAUCCAUGCUCUCCAUGGCAAAACCAGAGCAGGGCAAAGCCACCAGCUUACCAACAUUUCUGUUCAGCAUAGGAACUGAUGCUCAAGGUUUCCCAACCCGGAAGAUCAGUGUGCUAAUUUGAAUCUGUAAAUAUUUGACUUUCAUCUGCUAUUUAACCCCGCCUGCAUGCAGCUGAAAGUAAUUUCUCAGUAAAAAGCUGACUUCACUGUGCCUCAGGCUGGGAGCUGCACCACCAGCCCCCAAACUCUGCAGAGACUGCUACCAAGCAGAUAGCCCUGGCACCACAGGGAUAUACCAGCUCAC
ensembl:lncRNA